UACGGAGGGUGCAAGCGUUAUCCGGAUUCACUGGGUUUAAAGGGUGCGUAGGCGGCCACCGCAAGUCGACUGUGAAAUCUCCGGGCUUAACCCGGAAAGGUCAGCCGAUACUGCGGGCUAGAGUGCAGAAGGGGCAACUGGAAUUCUCGGUGUAGCGGUGAAAUGCGUAGAUAUCGGGAGGAACACCAGUAGCGAAGGCGGCUCGCUGGGCCAUUCCUGACGCUGAGACGCGAAAGCUAGGGGAGCGAACGAGG
rnacentral:rRNA from 1 species